rnacentral:rRNA from 1 species
AUAAAGAUGAAAGAGUUAGCAAAGAAUACCUAAACACAAAAGAAAAGGGCGUUUAACCAGACGAAAUAUGCAAUGAGUUGGAUUAUCACGAAGAAUUGCAGUUGCCCUAAGGGAAACCUAACAUUUAAAUAUUGUAUUUACUCGAGUAAGUGAAACAUCUCAAUAUUCGAAGGAAAAGAAAAUAAUUAAAGAUUUUGUUAGUAAUGGUGAGUGAAAACAAAUUAGCUAUAAAGGGUAUGUAAUAGAAUAGAAAACUUAUGUCAUUUAAGUGCCAUAGAGGGUGAUAGCCCCUUAUAAUUUGAUUUACAAAUCCGUACUGAGUAAGAUAGAAUCUGUGUUAUUUUAUCGGAAAAAGGCAAAACCAUUUGCCAAAGCUAAAUAUGCUUUUGUGAUUUAUAGUGAACAAGUACUGUGAAGGAAAGGUGAAAAGAAUCAGUGAAAAGACCUUGAAAUUGCUAACUUUAAGGACUUAAAGCAGAUAUAAUUUGUUAUAAGGUGCCUUUUGCAUAAUGAGCGGGCGAAUUUGUAAAAUUAGCAAACUAUAUUCGUUAGAUAAAGGUGCAGUGAAAGCGAGCUUUAAAUAAGCGUUAAGUUAGUUUUUAAAGACUCGAUACUAAGCGAUCUAUUUAUUGCCAGAUUGAGGAUACUUUAAAACGUAUCGGAGGAUCGAACCCAUGUAUGUUGCAUAAUACCGGGAUGAGUGGUAGCUAGGGGUGAAAGGCUAAUCAAGCUUAGUGUUAGCUAGUACUCUACGAAAUCUAUUUAGGUAGAGCGUUCUGAGGACAUUAUUGCUGGUAGAGCUCUAGAUAAGCAAUGGGAACUAAUACUUCUACUGAGUUUAUUUAAACUACGAAUAGCAAUUAAUUAAUUACAGAACAGGCAGAUUGCGGGCGCGAAGGUUCGUAAUCAAAAGGGAAACAGCCCAGAAUAUCAGCUAAAGUCCAUAAAAAUAAUUAAGUGUAUGAAAUAACUUCCGGUGUUAUUACAGUUAGGAGGUUGGCUUAGAAGCAGCCAUCCUUUAAAGAAAGCGUAACAGCUCACUAAUUUAUAAAAGCACUAUAGGGUUUUAUAAUAUAACGGACUAGAAUUAUUUACUGAAGCUAUAUGGAAACGGUAGUAGAGUAUCUUAUAUUUGUAAGGUUGCCUCGCGAGAGGUGGUUGUUAUAUUAAGAGAAAGUAUGCCUGUAUGAGUAGCAGAGAGAAGCGAGAAACUUCUCCACCGAAUAUAUAAGGUUUCCUAUUUCGAAAUUAGUUUUAAUAGGGUUAAUCGGCCCCUAAGUUGUGUAGUGAUAACUACUGAUGAUGGGUGUUAAGUUAAAAUUCUUAAAUUUUUCAACAAGUGACAGAAGUGCUAAGUUAUUCAAAUUUAAGAAAUUUUUUGUGUAAUUAAGGCUUCUCUGGAAAAAACUAGAAAAUGUAAACCGUACUUAAAUCGGCUCAGAUAUUUUAAUAGAGUAUAUUUAGGUGGUGGGAUAAUAAUAUUGAAGGAACUCGGCAAAAUGGCUCCGUAACUUCGGGAGAAGGAGUACCUUUGAUAAGAAAUUAUUGAUAGGUGUAACAGAAUAGAGGGUAGCGACUGUUUACUAAAAACACAGGACUCUGCUAAGUUGUAAAACGAUGUAUAGGGUCUGACACCUGCCCGGUGCUGAAAGACAAAAAGGAGUGGUGGAAACGCCAUGAAUAUAAAUCUCAGUAAACGGCGGCUGUAACCAUAACGGUCCUAAGGUAGCGAAAUUCCUUGUCGGUCCUUGUCGGGUAAGUUCCGACC